UACGUUGUUAUGUGCUUCAGUCUUGCUCUUUAGCAUGCCAAAGAAAUUUUACUACUAUUGCUCUUUUUAAUUAUAACUAAAGAGAAGUUAGAUAGCACAAGCAGUUUGAAGAAUGGGUAUGUUGGAUCGUUCACAACCUUGGCUCAGCCAUGUUUGCCAUACCCACCCUAUCCAGAAAGACAGCAAAAGAAUAGGGCAGUUUCGAUGGCUGAAACAUCACCAGUGCUUUGGCAUGAUCAGGUGCAAAAAACGACUGAAAAGGUUGAAUCAACACUUAUUACUCCAAACGAAAAGGAGAUGAGCACAAAGGACACUGUGAAAAAAGAUAGAUGCCUGUCAACAGCAUCAUCUGACAGUGGUAAUGGAGGUUGUGGAGGGCUUAAGAAGAAAAAAUAUAGGCGUUUUGGAGAGGUUGAUAAAACGGAGAAGAAAAAACUGACCCCCAGACAAUGGCUUCUAUUUGUUGUUCUCUCAUUAGCAACUCUUACAUCAUCAUUUGCCUUUCCCCCUGUUCUUUCCCAAAAUUGUUGAAGAUAAGGGUGCCACAGUAUCCAUUUAUGGAUUUAUCAUUGGUACCAACUGCCUGACAUCGUUUCUUGUCACUCUUUUUAUUGGAAAAAAACCUGAAAGUUAUUGGCGUUCGGUUCGCUUUUGUUUCUGGAGUUUUCAUUGGAGGUAUUUGCUGCUUAUUGUCGGGCUUUUUAGAGUAUUUCCCUCCCGGGGGUUCAUUCGUCGUAAUAUCUAUAUUGAUCCGCGUCAUUCACGCUGCCGGAAACGCUGGUACAAUUACGUUGACGUUUACGUACACUGCUGUGGAGUUUCCCAAUUCCGUUGCCAAAAUCUUUAGUCGUAGCCGUAGAAACGCAAGGCCGAAGAUUUUUUCUAACCAGUUGCAAGCUGACAAAUGUUGGAUGUUUUGUUGCGUUUUCUGUUUCGCGUGGAUACAGUGUUGAAUAAAAGCGCUGUUGAUGUGACCUUCUUACAAUUUUUGCA